rnacentral:antisense_RNA from 1 species
CAAAACCACAUUCCUGCUGCUGUCAGUUAUGAUGCACUGAGAAAACUUCAGAGACCUAAACAUUUUCCAGAGAAGAGAAGCUUUACUGGUGUUCCAGUCCUAAGGCUCAUAACGACAUUAACAGACACUUUUCAGAAAGACAG